UGGUACAUGAGGAUUGUGAAUGGAGAUGACCAGUAAUCCAUGCACAGAUAAUUAACCUUAGUUACUUUGUUUCACUACGGUGAUAGAUCCCACCAAAAGAGCAGAUCCCUCAAAAGUGAUUAACUUUAAGUACCUUGUAAUUACACCAAGGGAUGUGGCAUGAAGAGGUCGGUGCAAUUCACAAGCCAGUUUAAUAUUGGCAUUUGGCCC
rnacentral:lncRNA from 1 species